GGGUUGUGAGGUUAAGCGACUAAGCGUACACGGUGGAUGCCCUGGCAGUCAGAGGCGAUGAAGGACGUGCUAAUCUGCGAUAAGCGUCGGUGAGGUGAUAUGAACCGUUAUAACCGGCGAUUUCCGAAUGGGGAAACCCAGUGUGUUUCGACACACUAUCAUUAACUGAAUCCAUAGGUUAAUGAGGCGAACCGGGGGAACUGAAACAUCUAAGUACCCCGAGGAAAAGAAAUCAACCGAGAUUCCCCCAGUAGCGGCGAGCGAACGGGGAGGAGCCCAGAGCCUGAAUCAGUGUGUGUGUUAGUGGAAGCGUCUGGAAAGGCGCGCGAUACAGGGUGACAGCCCCGUACACAAAAAUGCACAUAUUGUGAGCUCGAUGAGUAGGGCGGGACACGUGGUAUCCUGUCUGAAUAUGGGGGGACCAUCCUCCAAGGCUAAAUACUCCUGACUGACCGAUAGUGAACCAGUACCGUGAGGGAAAGGCGAAAAGAACCCCGGCGAGGGGAGUGAAAAAGAACCUGAAACCGUGUACGUACAAGCAGUGGGAGCCUCUUAAUGGGGUGACUGCGUACCUUUUGUAUAAUGGGUCAGCGACUUAUAUUCUGUAGCAAGGUUAACCGAAUAGGGGAGCCGAAGGGAAACCGAGUCUUAACUGGGCGUUAAGUUGCAGGGUAUAGACCCGAAACCCGGUGAUCUAGCCAUGGGCAGGUUGAAGGUUGGGUAACACUAACUGGAGGACCGAACCGACUAAUGUUGAAAAAUUAGCGGAUGACUUGUGGCUGGGGGUGAAAGGCCAAUCAAACCGGGAGAUAGCUGGUUCUCCCCGAAAGCUAUUUAGGUAGCGCCUCGUGAAUUCAUCUCCGGGGGUAGAGCACUGUUUCGGCAAGGGGGUCAUCCCGACUUACCAACCCGAUGCAAACUGCGAAUACCGGAGAAUGUUAUCACGGGAGACACACGGCGGGUGCUAACGUCCGUCGUGAAGAGGGAAACAACCCAGACCGCCAGCUAAGGUCCCAAAGUCAUGGUUAAGUGGGAAACGAUGUGGGAAGGCCCAGACAGCCAGGAUGUUGGCUUAGAAGCAGCCAUCAUUUAAAGAAAGCGUAAUAGCUCACUGGUCGAGUCGGCCUGCGCGGAAGAUGUAACGGGGCUAAACCAUGCACCGAAGCUGCGGCAGCGACACUAUGUGUUGUUGGGUAGGGGAGCGUUCUGUAAGCCUGUGAAGGUGUACUGUGAGGUAUGCUGGAGGUAUCAGAAGUGCGAAUGCUGACAUAAGUAACGAUAAAGCGGGUGAAAAGCCCGCUCGCCGGAAGACCAAGGGUUCCUGUCCAACGUUAAUCGGGGCAGGGUGAGUCGACCCCUAAGGCGAGGCCGAAAGGCGUAGUCGAUGGGAAACAGGUUAAUAUUCCUGUACUUGGUGUUACUGCGAAGGGGGGACGGAGAAGGCUAUGUUGGCCGGGCGACGGUUGUCCCGGUUUAAGCGUGUAGGCUGGUUUUCCAGGCAAAUCCGGAAAAUCAAGGCUGAGGCGUGAUGACGAGGCACUACGGUGCUGAAGCGACAAAUGCCCUGCUUCCAGGAAAAGCCUCUAAGCAUCAGGUAACAUCAAAUCGUACCCCAAACCGACACAGGUGGUCAGGUAGAGAAUACCAAGGCGCUUGAGAGAACUCGGGUGAAGGAACUAGGCAAAAUGGUGCCGUAACUUCGGGAGAAGGCACGCUGAUAUGUAGGUGAAGCGACUUGCUCGUGGAGCUGAAAUCAGUCGAAGAUACCAGCUGGCUGCAACUGUUUAUUAAAAACACAGCACUGUGCAAACACGAAAGUGGACGUAUACGGUGUGACGCCUGCCCGGUGCCGGAAGGUUAAUUGAUGGGGUUAGCGGUAACGCGAAGCUCUUGAUCGAAGCCCCGGUAAACGGCGGCCGUAACUAUAACGGUCCUAAGGUAGCGAAAUUCCUUGUCGGGUAAGUUCCGACCUGCACGAAUGGCGUAAUGAUGGCCAGGCUGUCUCCACCCGAGACUCAGUGAAAUUGAACUCGCUGUGAAGAUGCAGUGUACCCGCGGCAAGACGGAAAGACCCCGUGAACCUUUACUAUAGCUUGACACUGAACAUUGAGCCUUGAUGUGUAGGAUAGGUGGGAGGCUUUGAAGUGUGGACGCCAGUCUGCAUGGAGCCGACCUUGAAAUACCACCCUUUAAUGUUUGAUGUUCUAACGUGGGCCCCUUACCGGGGUUGCGGACAGUGUCUGGUGGGUAGUUUGACUGGGGCGGUCUCCUCCUAAAGAGUAACGGAGGAGCACGAAGGUUGGCUAAUCCUGGUCGGACAUCAGGAGGUUAGUGCAAUGGCAUAAGCCAGCUUGACUGCGAGCGUGACGGCGCGAGCAGGUGCGAAAGCAGGUCAUAGUGAUCCGGUGGUUCUGAAUGGAAGGGCCAUCGCUCAACG
rnacentral:rRNA from 1 species